AUCUGGAUGAUGAGUCCCAAAUAGGACGAAACGCACUUCGUCCUGUAU
rnacentral:hammerhead_ribozyme from 1 species